rnacentral:rRNA from 1 species
UACCAGCACCCCGAGUGGUCGGGACGUUUAUUGGGCCUAAAGCAUCCGUAGCCGGUUCUACAAGUCUUCCGUUAAAUCCACCUGCUUAACAGAUGGGCUGCGGAAGAUACUAUAGAGCUAGGAGGCGGGAGAGGCAAGCGGUACUCGAUGGGUAGGGGUAAAAUCCGUUGAUCCAUUGAAGACCACCAGUGGCGAAGGCGGCUUGCCAGAACGCGCUCGACGGUGAGGGAUGAAAGCUGGGGGAGCCAAACCGGG